rnacentral:rRNA from 1 species
ACGCUGGCGGCGUGCUUAACACAUGCAAGUCGAACGGUGAAGCCCAGCUUGCUGGGUGGAUCAGUGGCGAACGGGUGAGUAACACGUGAGCAAUCUGCCCCAGACUCUGGGAUAAGCGCUGGAAACGGCGUCUAAUACUGGAUAUGAACCGUGGAGGCAUCUUCAACGGUUGGAAAGAUUUUUUGGUCAGGGAUGAGCUCGCGGCCUAUCAGCUUGUUGGUGAGGUAAUGGCUCACCAAGGCGUCGACGGGUAGCCGGCCUGAGAGGGUGACCGGCCACACUGGGACUGAGACACGGCCCAGACUCCUACGGGAGGCAGCAGUGGGGAAUAUUGCACAAUGGGCGCAAGCCUGAUGCAGCAACGCCGCGUGAGGGAUGACGGCCUUCGGGUUGUAAACCUCUUUUAGCAAGGAAGAAGCGAAAGUGACGGUACCUGCAGAAAAAGCGCCGGCUAACUACGUGCCAGCAGCCGCGGUAAUACGUAGGGCGCAAGCGUUAUCCGGAAUUAUUGGGCGUAAAGAGCUCGUAGGCGGUUUGUCGCGUCUGCUGUGAAAUCCCGAGGCUCAACCUCGGGUCUGCAGUGGGUACGGGCAGACUAGAGUGCGGUAGGGGAGAUUGGAAUUCCUGGUGUAGCGGUGGAAUGCGCAGAUAUCAGGAGGAACACCGAUGGCGUAGGCAGAUCUCUGGGCCGUAACUGACGCUGAGGAGCGAAAGGGUGGGGAGCAAAC